GAAGUGGGGGAGUAACAGUCCGAAAGGAUUGCUAAUACCGCAUGUGGUCAUUUUCUCGCAUGGGGAGAUGUCUAAAGCCUAGUGCGCUUCAGGAUGGGCUUGCGGCCUAUCAGCUUGUUGGUGGGUAACGACCUACCAAGGCUUUGACGGGUAGCUGGUCUGAGAGGACGAUCAGCCGGAUUGGGACUGAGAUACGGCCCAG
rnacentral:rRNA from 1 species